rnacentral:tRNA from 1 species
GGAGAGUUGGCAGAGCGGUUGAAUGCGGCGGUCUCGAAAACCGUUGUACCUUUACUGGUACCGGAGGUUCGAAUCCUCCACUCUCCG